CUGGGUUGUUGCCCUCCUACGGCCUCCUCCACGUCUCCUGAUGUACUGGCCUGUCUCCUGGUAGCGCCUCCAUGCUCUGGUUACUACGCUGACAGACACAGCAAGCCUUCUUGCCACAGCUCGCAUUGAUGUGCCAUCCUGGAUGAGCUGCACUACCUGAGCCACUUGUGUGGGUUGUAGACUCCGUCUCAUGCUACCACUAGAGUGAGAGCACCGCCAGCAUUCAAAAGUGACCAAAACAUCAGCCAGGAAGCAAUUGCCUUGUAUAGCCACAAUGUUUAGGGUAGGGUGUUAUGGGGCUAAAUGAAACAUUGGUUCUGGUGUUAUACUUUGUAUGUUAUAGAGAACACACACCAUUUUAUUUCAUGAGGAUAGGAUUUACAAUUGUUGAGAUCUUAUUUUCAAGUUACCAGAAAAGUCAACAGUUGCAGACAGGUGAAUAUUAAUCCCUAGUCAAUAAUGGCACUAAAUUACCUUUCUAGAUUCUUAAAUUCAACCAUUUUUGUGCAAUAUUUCAAGGUAGGGUGGUCAUAUCAUUGUUAUGCAAAAUGUAGUUUGUAACAAUUGGAAACAAUUCAUGAAAUUAUAAUACAGGUUUUCUGCGUUAUGCAAAUUAGAUACUUAAUACGUACACCACACAUCUCCACUCUCACAAAGCACCCCUACCAACACACACCACAUCACACAUAGACUAACACAGACACACACACACAGCUUAACACAGACGCACACUAAAGCUAAAUUCAAAUGGCAUCAUUGUGCAUCAAGUCUAUUUUUCUCGCAUCUACGCGGUGCCACGCUGGUAACAUAAGCGGAUAAAUUGCAUGGGUCAUUUGUAGAAAAGUAAUUAUGAUCUUCCCUAUGCUAAGUAAACUAACAAUGUAGUUUAACAUAUAUUGGUCUGUAAACUAAGGUUUAUCAGUCAAAUAGGCUAUCAGCCCAGGUACAGUGGCUCCCGUAGGACAUCUAAGGUCAAAAGGAACUCACAGCAAGAACUCUCAAGUGAUACGAUACGUAUAGUAGUAAACAAAUACAAACUGUUCAUUAAGGAUUUUAAUGAUGUUGGCAAACGCUACACAGUGUAUGUGAAUUGACGCUCGCUACUCUCGCACGCAACUAUCAUGCCGUUGACGGGCGUCUCCAUGUGAUUUCAUCUUAAGUCUGAAAUGUAACAUAGAAAGCUACUAGUCUAAUAACAUACACUGAACAAAAAUAUAAAUGUAAGUCAAUUGAAAUAAAUUCAUUAGGCCCUAAUCUAUGGAUUUCACAUGACUGGGAAUACAGAUAUGCAUCUGUUGGUCACAGAUACCUUUCAAAAAAGGUGGGCGCAUGGAUCAGAAAACCAGUCAGUAUCUGGUGUGACCACCAUAUGCUUUAUGCAACGUGACACAUCUCCUUCACAUAGAGUUGAUCAGGCUGUUGUCCAUUCCUUUUCAAUGGCUGUGAUGAGUUGUUGGAUAUUGGCGGAAACUGAAACAUGCUGUCGUACACGUUGAUCCAGAGCAUCCCAAACAUGCUCAAUGGGUGACAUGUCUGGUGAGUAUGCAGGCCAUGGAAGAACUGUGACAUUUUCAGCUUCCAGGAAUUGUGUACAGAUGCUUGCGACAUGUGGCAGUGCAUUAUCAUGCUGAAACAUAAAGUGAUGGCGGUGGAUGAAUGAAACGACAAUGGGCCUCAGGAUCUUGUCACAGUCUCUGUACAUUCAAAUUGCCAUCAAUAAAAUAAAAUUGUGUUCAUUGUCCGUAUCCUAUGCCUGCCAAUACCAUAAUCCUACCCCCACCAUGGGUCACUCUGUUCACAACGUUGACAUCAGCAAACCACUCACCCACAUGACGCCAUACAUGCUGUCUGCCAUCUGCCUGGUACAGUUGAAACUGGGAUUCAUCUGUGAAGAGCACACUUCUCCAGUGUGCCAGUGGCCAUCGAAGUUGAGCAUUUGCCCAUUGAAGUUAGUUGUGACGGCGAACUGAAGUUAGGUCAUGACACUGGUGAGGACGAUGAGCACACAGAUGAGCUUCCCCGAGAUCGUUUCUGACAGUGCAAGCAUUUAUAGUAAAAUAAAUUAUGCAGUAGCUGUUUUCAUAGUUCUGACAGAACAUAUUUUGGUCACAAAAAUGAAAAACAAUAUACCACAUUACUUCUUACUAGUAAUACAUUUGUUUUCUAAACAUUACAAAACAUUAUUAUCCAUUUCUCUGUGUUUUGUUGGUGUAAUCUUGUCUGGUAAAAGGUCUGAGUGGCUGGUAUAUUUUUUUGAUCUACUUGCCAUUGUGGCUGGUGGACCAAAAAGUACAUUUUAUGCCCUGUCCCAAGCACAAGGUCCACCUGUGUAACGAUCAUGCUGUUUAAUCAGGUUCUUGAUUUGCCACACCUGUCAGGUGGAUUGAUUAUCUUGGCAAAUGAGAAAUGCUCAUGAACAGGGAUGUAAACAAAUUUGUGCACAUUUCACUUGAGAAAUACUUUUUUUUGUGCUUAUGGAAAAUUUCUGGGAUCUUGUAUUUCAGCUCAUGAAACAAACAUGGGACCAACACUACUUGUUACGUUUAUAUUUUUGUUCAGUAUAGCUUACCUCCAGGUAGGCAUACAUGUGAGUUUGGUUACAUUGUAAUGUUAUUUUUGGUGUUGAUGAGUUAAUCUAGUGAUAAACUGCAGCAAAUAAUUAGCUGAGGCACAGAAAGAUAGAUGGGAAACAUUUUAAAUUCACUGGUUUUGUCAAAUGACUGCCUCGCCUUGUUCACCAACUACUUCUCAGAUAGAGUUCAGUGUGUCAAAUCAGAGCGCCUGUUGUCCGGACCUCUGGCAGUGUCCACAGGGUUCAAUUCUCGGGGACUCUUUUCUCUGUAUACAUCAAUGAUGUCGCUCUUGCUGCUGGUGAUUCUCUGAUCCACCUUUACGCAGACGACACCAUUCUGUAUACAUCUGGCACUUCUUUGGACACUGUGCUAACAAACCUCCAAACAAGCUUCAACAGCAUACAACACUCCUUCCGUGGCCUCCAACUGCUUUUAAAUGCUAGUAAAACUAAGUGCAUGCUCUUCAACCGAUCGCUGCCCGCACUCUCCUGCCCGACUAGCAUCACUACUCUGGACGGUUCUGACCUAGAAUAUGUGGACAACUACAAAUACCUAGGUGUCUGGUUAUACUGUAAACUCUCCUUACAGACUCACAUUAAGCAUCUAUAAUCCAAAAUUAAAUCUAGAAUCGUAAUCCUUUUUUGCAACAAAGCCUCCUUCACUCAUGCCGCCAAACAUACCCUCGUAAAACUGACUAUCCUACCGAUCCUCGACAAAAUAGCCCCCAACACUCUACUCAGAAAACUGGAUGUAGUCUAUCACAGUGCCAUCCGUUUUAUCACCAAGCCCCAUAUACUACCCACAACUGCGACCUGUAUGCUCUCGUUGGCUGGCCCUCACUACAUAUCCAUCACCAAACCCACUAGCUCCAGGUCAUCUAUAAGUCUUUGCUAGGUAAAGCCCUGCCUUAUCUCAGCUCACUGGUCACCAUAGCAACACCCACCUGUAGCACGCACUCCAGCAGGUAUAUUUCACUGGUGAUCCCUAAAGCCAACACUUCCUUUGGCCGCCUUUCCUUCCAGUUCUCUGCUGCCAAUGACUGGAACGAAUUGCAAAAAUAUCUGAAGCUGGAGUCUUAUAUCUUCCUCUCUAACUUUAAGUAUCAGCUGUCAGAGCAGCUUACCUGUACUGUACCUGUACACAGCCAAUCUGUAAAUAACACACCCAACUACCUCAUCCCCAUAUUAUUACUUACCCUCUUGCUCUUUUGCACCCUAGUAUCUCUACUUGCACAUCAUCAUCUGCACAUCUAUCACUCCAGUGUUAAUGCUAAAUUGUAAUUAUUUUUGCCUCUGUGGCCUAUUUAUUGCCUACCUCCCUAAUCUUCUACAUUUGCACACACUGUACAUAGAUCUUUCUAUUUUUAUUUUGUGUUAUUGACUGUACGUUUGUUUGUGUAACUCUGUGUUGUUUUUGUCGCACUGCUUUGCUUUCUCUUGGCCAGGUCGCAGUUGUAAAUGAGAACUUGUUCUCAACUGGCCUACCUGGUUAAAUAAAGGUAAAAUUUUAAAAAAAUGCUAUGUUUUUAUCGAUUGUAAGGCUGUAGCUACUGAAUUCUUGUCGUUUUUGCUUGAAAGACAAUUCUGAAUCAAUCAGUAGGGUAUUUUUCCAGAUUUGAAUUUUUCAUAUCAUCAUACAGUCCUUCUCACCCUGGGAUUUAUGGUGUUACCGGUUUAGUACACAAAUGGGGGCAAUAAAAUGCAAAAAAGUAAUAGCGAAUUUCCAUGAAAGCUGCUAGCUAAAUAUGCUAACAAGCGCAAACGAAAAUAAAUGAAGACAGUCAAUCCAGGUCAUAAAGUUAUACAUUCACUAUCAUUCAAAAGUUUGGGGUCACUUAGAAAUGUUCUUGUUUUUGAAAGAAAAACAAUUUUUUUUGUCCAUUUAAAAUAGCAUUAAAUUGAUCAGAAAUACAGUGUAGACGUUGUAAAUGACUAUUGUAGCUGGAAACGGCUGAUUUCUUAUGGAAUAAGAAUAGGUGUAUAGAUGUCCAUUAUCAGCAACCAUCACUCCUGUGUUCCAAUGGCAUGUUGUGUUAGCUAAUCCAAGUUUAUAAUUUUAAAAGGCUAAUUGAUCAUUAGAAAACCCUUUUGCAAUUAUGUUUAGCACAGCUGAAGACUGUUGUCCUGAUUAAAGAAGCAAUAAAAUUGGCCUUCUUUAGACUAGUUGGGUAUCUGGAGCAUCAGCAUUUGUGGGUUCGAUUGCAGGCUCAAAAUGGCAAGAAACAAAGACCUUUCUUUUGAAACUCGCCAGUCUAUUCUUGUUCUGAGAAAUGAAUGCUAUUCCAUGCGAGAAAUUGCCAAGAAACUGAAGAAAAAACUGAAGAAUGUUGUUUUUGGUGAGUUUGGACAUUUACAAGCGAAUUUGAACAAGCAACAUUGUGCAAAUGAAGAAAGUUUUGACGCAUGCAGUACUGGCUCUCUAACAACAUGUCUACAGGCUGUGUCUGUGUGUAGUCUGGAGUUGCUAGGGAAACGGGCCAGACUGCUUGGAGAAGAGGGGGGAGGAGAAGACCAUGGAGAACUGAGAGGAGAAAAACGCAAGCAUAAGGACCAAACGUGGACAACCGGCAGAACAUUUGCCUGAAGAUGACAGACAACAUUCACAGCCAGUUGGAGCAUCUUCAAUCUAAAUACAUUGGAACAGGCUAUGCGGACACCAGGAAGUGGGAGUGGUUGGUGAACCAACAUCGGGACUCAUACUGUUCAUAUAUGGGUCACUUUGAUCUGUUGAAUUACUUCUCUGUUGCUGAGAAAGAGAGCAAAGCUCGAGUGCGCUUCAAUCUCAUCUCACCCACCUUCGGAAAAACCUGACAAUUCCUAGGCUAAGGACUUCAACUGAGAAUAUGUAGAACAUUGUGUUUUUACUGUCCGGCUGUCCAUAUUUAUCCAUUGUUGAUAAGAAGCUUGAGGCUCGAGAUGCAUGACACGGAAGCAAUGUUUAUGAACAAUGUAUAAGUUUCCCAUCAGUGUGAUAUUUGCAUAGAAAAUAAACAUUGGGAUAAAGUG